rnacentral:rRNA from 1 species
UACGGAGGGUGCGAGCGUUACUCGGAAUUACUGGGCGUAAAGCGCACGUAGUCGGCUUUGCAAGUCGGGUGUGAAAUCCCCGGGCUUAACCUGGGAACUGCAUUUGUGACUGCAUAGCUAGAGUACGGUAGAGGGGGAUGGAAUUCCGCGUGUAGCAGUGAAAUGCGUAGAUAUGCGGAGGAACACCGAUGGCGAAGGCAGUCCCCUGGGCCUGUACUGACGCUCAGGCACGAAAGCGUGGGGAGCAAACAGG